GGUGGAUGAACGAACUUUUAAUACCAAUAAACCCCCAGAAACCCUCUCAUAUCAUUGCACCUCUUUGACGAAUUGAACUUUGUGAAAAUGGCGUCCAUGGCAAAGCCUAUCCUUUCUUCAAUUUUCCUUCCUCCACCGCCAUCGCUUCAUCUUAACCCAACUCAAAAGGCAUCAUUUAUUUGUCUCCCGAAGAAGAGAAACUUGUCUGUUCUACGAGCGAGUUACGAGGUAGGAGGCGGCUACACGCAGGAAGAGCUGGAAGCACGAGAGAAAAGUAGGAGCAAACAACAAGAAGCAGGGGAUCCAUCAACUACUUGGGGUACUUCUCAGUAUGAAGUUCUCCUCAAAGGGGGUGAACAAGUUACUUCUGUUCUUGAAGAGAUGGCUAAUCUUUUGGAAGAUGACCAAAUGGAUGCAGAAUCCGAGGAAUUUGCGGUAAUGUUGGCUGCACAAGGAGUUAUUGGGAAACGAGUUGAUGAGAUGGAGUCGGGCUUUAUGAUGGCUCUGGAUUACAUGAUCCAACUUGCUGAAAAGGACGAGGAUGAGAAGCGGAAGUCUCUAUUGGAGGUAAUCAAGGAGACGGUAUUAUCCCAUCUUACAAAAAAAUGCCCCCCACAUGUUCAAGUUGUUGGGCUGCUAUGUAGAACCCCACGGAAAGAAAGUAGACAAGAAUUACUUAGGCGAGUGGCAGCAGGCGGCGGUGCAUUUGAAAGUGAGCAUGGUGCAAAAGUCCAUCUACCGGGGGCGAAUCUAAAUGACAUAGCUAACCAGGCUGAUGACUUGUUGGAGACCAUGGAAAGUCGACCAGUUGUCCCUGACAGAAAGCUUCUGGCAAGGCUCGUUUUGAUUAGAGAAGAAGCUCGGAGUAUGAUGGGAGGUGGAUUACUAGAUGAAAGAAACAACCGCGGUUUAAAUACGCUACCUCGGUCAGAGGUCAACUUCUUAACGAAACUUGUUGCUGAGAAACCUGGGAAAGCAGUGCGUGAGAUGAUUAAGAACGUAAUGCUAGGCAAAGAUGAAGGUGCCGACAACACUACAGAUGAAGAAAGUAAAAGGGGCGGAAAGGUUAGAAGUGGGAUUGCAGGAAGGGGUAGUGUUCCUGGGUCGAAACCACAUCCGGUGCGCCCUGGCAUGUUUCUAGAAACAGUCUCCAAGGUGCUCGGUGGCAUAUAUGAUGGAAAUAUAUCCGGCAUCACUGCACAGCAUCUUGAAUGGGUUCACCAGAAUACACUUCAAAUUCUUCAAGAAAUAGCAUUCUAACUUUGGCGAUGGCAACAUAUGCUCCACACGCAUUUUUCGUGCACAAGUUACCAGUGUUUGAUCGAGUACGAAAAGGUGCAAGAUGCAGAAUUGCAGAGUAUAGAUAACAUCAAGUUUGGUCAUGCUAACACGAAACCGCACUUUGCGUGGGUGCAAAGUUGACGGGUUAACGAUGACGCAAAUGCUCAGAUCAAAACGAGUGUCCCAAGUGCAUUCCAAGUCGUUAAAGGUUUGGUCGUGGAUAACCUGAAAUGAAAUUCUAGAUAAAGAUUUUUUACCUUGUCAUUCAAUCUGUCUUCGAGGAUGAUAUUUAGAUUUUUGGAAUAUUCUUCAUAGCCUAUCAGACUCUGCUUUUGAGUGGGACAUACUGUGUUUGAGAUAUGGUUUGGUUAUUCUGUAAAUAAUAUGUAAAACUUGAUGUACACCAAUGUCACAUUGUGGUAC